UACGGGAGGCAGCAGUGGGGAAUAUUGCACAAUGGGCGCAAGCCUGAUGCAGCCAUGCCGCGUGUAUGAAGAAGGCCUUCGGGUUGUAAAGUACUUUCAGUCGUGAGGAAGGUGUUAAGGUUAAUAACCUUAGCAAUUGACGUUAGCGACAGAAGAAGCACCGGCUAACUCCGUGCCAGCAGCCGCGGUAAUACGGAGGGUGCGAGCGUUAAUCGGAAUUACUGGGCGUAAAGGGCACGCAGGCGGUUAAUUAAGUUGGAUGUGAAAUCCCCGGGCUUAACCUGGGAAUGGCAUUCAAGACUGGUUAGCUAGAGUCUUGUAGAGGGGGUAGAAUUCCAUGUGUAGCGGUGAAAUGCGUAGAGAUGUGGAGGAAUACCGGUGGCGAAAGGCGGCCCCUGGGACAAAGACUGACGCUCAUGUGCGAAAGCGUGGGGAGCAAACAGGAUUAGAUACC
rnacentral:rRNA from 1 species